rnacentral:snRNA from 1 species
UUAUUACUUGCUUCCGCAAUACAUAUAUUGAAAUUGGAACGAUACAGAGAAGAUUA